GACGAACGCUGGCGGCGUGCUUAACACAUGCAAGUCGAACGGAAAGGCCCUGCUUUUGUGGGUUGCUCGAGUGGCGAACGGGUGAGUAACACGUGAGUAACCUGCCCUUGUCUUUGGGAUAACUUCAGGAAACUGGGGCUAAUACCGGAUAGGAGCUCCUGCUGCAUGGUGGGGGUUGGAAAGUUUCGGCGGUUGGGGAUGGACUCGCGGCUUAUCAGCUUGUUGGUGGGGUAGUGGCUUACCAAGCCUUUGACGGGUAGCCGGCCUGAGAGGGUGACCGGCCACAUUGGGACUGAGAUACGGCCCAGACUCCUACGGGAGGCAGCAGUGGGGAAUAUUGCACAAUGGGCGGAAGCCUGAUGCAGCAACGCCGCGUGCGGGAUGACGGCCUUCGGGUUGUAAACCGCUUUCGCCUGUGACGAAGCGUGAGUGACGGUAAUGGGUAAAGAAGCACCGGCUAACUACGUG
rnacentral:rRNA from 1 species